AGGUACCAAUAUGCAAUUUGACAUCAAAAGAAAAAGCAUUUUUGGAUAGUGCACACCUGGAUGUAGAAGAUAAUGUUGAUACGGAAGAAUUAACAGUAGAAAAUACAGUAGUCAAUGAAAAUAGUCAGCAAAAACAGCUCGAUCUUCAGAAAGUAGCUGAACAGCAUGAAUUAAAUGGUAAAGUCAACAAAAAAACAUCACAGGAUACAGUAAACGAGGAACAUAGUUUUAGUGUUGACAGUUUAAAACAAACGGAACACGUUAAGGACAGAAGCACUACACCACAAUCUGUGCAUACAGAUGGGGUAUCCAUUGUACCAGUACCAGAGUGUGCACAUAUGAACGAGUUAUCUAUUGCGCCCUCACAAGAGAGACAAUUGUCAAAUCAGGAGUAUUUGGAAAAUCUGUGGAGACAGAAACUAGAAAAGAUUAACAGAGAAGCAUGGGAUAGGGAUUUGUAUCCUGUUGAGUUGUUUCCUAGGAAGUCCCAAGUGAUGGAAAUGCAAACAUUUAAUCCAAAUAUUAAUGACACAAUAGAUUUUAGACCAAAUUCAGCACUUAGCGCAGGAACAAAUGUAUUUCUGUCAGGGUAUUGGAAGA